rnacentral:lncRNA from 1 species
AGACAGGCAGUCACAAGCCUGGGGACUGCAGGCACAGUGAGGAAGGUAGGGAAGGGUCUCUCCAAGACAGGCCCACCAGGAGCCCCCACUGGGAAUAAUGCAGCCCCUCUCAGGGGAUGGAGUGUCUGGAAUUCCAUGGCUGAGGUGCAACAGGUGACUGAAGGUUUGAGGAGGCAACGCUGCCACUCACAGUCAGAAGCAGAGGGGAUGAGAUGGCCAGAUGUGAUUGGAAUCAGACACAGUGAGGUUUGAAUCCUCACUCUGUCCUUUUUGUUGUGUGGCCUGUGUGACAGGUCCCACAGCCUCUCCAGCCUCUGUGGGAAGAAGGAUCAUCUGAUGCCUAUGUAAUAGAGUUGCUGAAGGAGUGGAAGCAGCUUUGACAUUAUCAGUGGAACCCACCAGUGCAGACUGCUUCACCAAGGGCACCUGAGGCAGCAGAUCUGAGGAUUAGGGACGUAGGGAGCUGAAGCCUGGCUGGAGAGGUGGUGCGCACAAGAACCCCCACAUUCCCCGACAGGAGCCUGAAAAAGCAAGACGCCAUGUUGGGAGGACACGGAAGCAGUUCUAGGGAGAGGAGCACAUGGCAAGAAGCCAAGGCCUCCUGCCCACAGCCGCCUAGUUUCUUUUGCAGAUACCCUGUGAUUGCCAGCAAGUAAACCAGAUGCAAUUGUGGUUUCCGUGAAGCACAGCUGGAAAACUGCUGCCCCCACGGAGGAAGAGGAAGAUGGGAAGAUGGUGGUUACUGCACACCAGGCACCAGCCUCGGGGCUAUGAGCUGUACAAACAUUACCCAUUUUAUCCUCGUGACCAUGUUCUGAGAAGGCUGUCAAUGAUCUCACUUUAUACAUGGGGAAAUUCAUGCAGACAGAGGCUGACUAAAUUGCCAUGGUCACUCAGCUAGUAGGAACUGGAGCUGUAACUUGAACCCGGGUCUUUUGUUUCUGUGGCUCCUGGUAGCACAUGCCGGGCUUGAAGUGAGAUCCGGAGGAUGUUGGAAACAACGUGUUCCCCAUCAUGAAAGUCCUUAUGAUACCUUAUGAUGCAGAGUUGGCAGCCAGGAGCAGGGGCUUCCAGAAGCAUGGCUGACCCUUGUUGGGAUCUCGCUCCUGUGAGCCUUGGAACGUCUAGGGAGAAAGAGCAGCCAAAUUUAGAGCUGCAGGAGCUUUGAGAUGCAGCUCAGGCAUCAUCUCUGGGAAGUCUUUCCUGGAACCACAGCCUGGGCCCUGUACCUGAUUCCCAGCCCCUGUGGCUCUUUUUGCAUUUGCUGCCUCUUUUCACAAUUCUGUCUCCUUAUGUCUUCCACUCUACACGCAAGCCCCUUGAGGGCAGGACCAUGACUCAGUCAUCCUGUACCCUAGCACCCACCCUGGGUCUGCAUCUGGAAGGAGCUCACUAAGUGAUUAUUGAGCCAAACUGAACUGUAGCAGGAGUGAGCAAAGCUAAUUCAUGGGUGCAGAAUGGGAGCACAGAGCUGCCAGAAUCCAGAGACAACUGUAACUGUCCCGGCACAGGGGGCUUCAGGCCGCGGUGAGAGCCACUGAAAGCAAGAGAGCCAGGUGGUGGCUCAGUUCACACUGAGUCCUGCUGAAGAAAUAGGCACAUCGUGUGUGUUAAAAUCAGCACCCCAUGCACCUGUAGGAAGAGACUGAGGCACCCUGGAGGCCCCUCCCAAUAAUUAAAAGGCCCUCUGGGGCCUGUGGGAGCCCUAGCUGAUGAAAUCACAAAGGCCUCAGCCUCUAAAGUGUUUCCAGUAAAAUGCUACCAGGAUUUUCCUCCCUUAAAUCUGGAUGAAAGGGCUGUCUGUGCUACAAAGUGCACACCUGGCGUUGAUACGCAGUCUCUUGCUGCCUGUUAACUAACCCACCAGCCGACAAGUUCUGCCCACUGGCAGGAGCAAGGACUUAUAAAAAAUAGUGCCUCCCUCCCAAGGGCUUAUGAGCUGGUUAAGUGCAGAGGACAAAUAGAAUGAAAGAAAAGGCAAUCUCGGCAUAGUAUUUAGUUAAUUCUUCUCUCUCUCUUGUUCCCUCUCUCUCCUUUCUCUCUUCCUCCCUCCUUUCUAUGACUUGUCCUCUCCACACAACUCCUUUUCCGUUUUCCCUCCCCUGCCUCCCCACCUUCUUUCUUGACUUCCCAUCUUGCUCCCUUUCUUCCUGCCUGCCCAUCUGCUUUCCUUUCUUAUCUCUGGUGCAAAUUCUGCAUAUAGUCGCUCUCCUCAUUUCAUGACAGGCUGUCUUCAUCAGUUUCUGAGUUCUUUUGUUAUUUUAUAAAAUAUUUUACAUGCUGUCCUCAAAAAAUCCCCUCCCCCAGAAAAGGCCCAUUCAAAAGUACUUACUAUACGUCCUUAGAUAGGCAAUGAUCUCUGAAAUAUAUAUAGGCUUGCUCUAUAUGUGUUUUUGUAAGUGUACUUUUCUUUCAUUAAAUAUGCAGAUCUUAAUUGUACAGUUUGAGGUGUUUUGACAAAGGUAUAUACCAGUAAAACCACCACCCCAACCAAGGUACCGAACACUUUCAUCUCUCUGGAAAGUCCCCUUGUGCCACCUUCCAGUCAACUCUCACCCUCCAGAGGCACCCACUGUUCAGAUUUCUACAUGCAUUUUGCCUGUUGCUGAACUGGAACCUCACAGCCUUUUACGUCUGGCUUCUUUCACUUAACAUAAUGUUUUUAAGUCAUCCAUGUAGUUCAUUCUUUUUUUUGUUGCAGAGCAAUAUUCCAUUGUGUGAAUGGAUGUACUUUAUCCAUCAACAGUUGAUGAAGUUGGGUUGGUGGCACUUUUUGGCUAUCGUGGGUAAUGCUGCUCUGGAUGUUUCUGCACAAGUCUUUAUUGUGGACAUGGGUUUCCAUUUCUUCUGGGCAAAUGCCCAGGAACAGAAUUGCUGAUUCAUUAGGAAGUUAUAUGUUUAACUUCAUAAGAAACUGGAAAACCGCACUCCACAGUGUUCAUGCUAUUGCACAUUGCCCCCAGUGCCAUGUGAAUGUUUCAUUCUUGGGGUCUAGAAUAUCUUACUGCAGUUUUAAUUGGAAGUUCUCUGAUGACUUUUGAUAGAGUAUCUUUUCAUGUGCUUAUUGGUUAUUUAUUUCUUCUUUAAAGAAGAGUCUAGAUCCUUUUCCCAUUUAAAAUUGCAUUGCUUCUAUUUUUACUGUUGAUUCUUAGAAGUUCUUUACAUAUUUUAGAUUUAUAUACAGUAAAUAUUUUCUCCCAGUCCAUGGCUUGCCUUUACCUUUUCUUAAUGGUGUCUUUUGAUUAACCAGACAUUUUAAAUUUUCAUGAAGCCUAUUGUAUCGGGGGUUGUUUUUGUUUGUUCAUUUAUGGUUAGUACUCUUUUUGGUGCUAGCCAGGAAAACUUUGCCUACAUUCUCCUAAGCUCAUGAAUAUAUUUUUCUAUAUUUGUUUCUAGGACAUUUAUAAUUCAAACUUUUAUGUUCUAGCCUAUCACUCAUGUAUAGUUAUGUAUAGUAUAAAUAAGGAUUGAAGUUCAUUUUUCUUUCCAUAUACUUAUCCAGUUAUUCCAGCACCAUUUGUUGAAAACACUUUCUUUCCCUCAUUGAAUUUCCUUGAAGCUUGUGCUCAUAACUUAUAUAACGAGUAUUGCGUUACAAUUUCCAUUAUAUUUCUUAAUUUUUCACUUAACACAAUGUUUAUAUGAUCUAUCCGCAAUGCUGUAUUCAGUCAUUUGAAUUCACUCAUUCAUUUUAUCAUUCAAUAAAUCUGCAGUGGUGAAGAAAACA